AUUCUGGCAAAAGUUCUCAUAUUUUAUUUUGUCUUCAAUUCCCAUUGCAGCAGUUUCUAAGCUAUAUACUUGAAAAUUUGAACUAUCCUUGGAUCUCUAGUUACAAUAAUUAUAUUAUAAGGUCUAUUUUUACAAUUUGUUUUAAGUAAAAGGAUGGCAAACUUUUUUGGGGCAAAAAGGGCGUUGGCACAGAAUAAGGGCGUUGGUAAUAUAUAUAAUUUGCAGGGGUGAAAAACUUUUUUGGGCGGUGCCAAAUGCCUCUGGGGGGGGGGGUGCAAAACAUUUCUGGGGGGUGCACACCCCCCACAAAAUCCGUGCCUGUGUUAAUGACCAGUUCCUGAUGGUGCUAAUGUUGCAAUUUGCGAUCAGUGGCUUAAUUCCAGUGGUGCCUAAAUUACUUUGAAUUUGUACUCGAGUAAAAGUAGAAGUAAUUGACAAUAAAAUAACUUGAGUGAGAGCAAAAAGUACUGGAGGCAAAACAUACUUAAGUAAAAUGUACAAAAUAUCCUUCAAAAUAAAAGUAAAAGUACUAUUGUCUGUAGC